rnacentral:rRNA from 1 species
UACAACGCACUACCUGUUCAUAGUAGUCGUUGCUGUCAACAGCACACUGCUCACCAUCAACGCAGGGUACUACAUCUUCUACACAGACUGGGCUUGGACGUCCUUCGUUGUGUUCUCAGUUUCGCAGGCUACGAUGCGUGCUGAAGGCGCAAUAUACUAACUGUUCUUUACAGGUGUACGAGUAACCGCAAUCUAUUACGCCUAGAACACACCCAUCUCAACAUAUGUUCCCUGAGUGCUAUGUUGUAACCCUUCAUAACACUAGAUUGCAUGUAGCGACCAGACGCAGCCAUCACGUUGCCCAACUGCUUGUCCGUACUCUGGCUGGCCUAUCCUUCCCCCUGUUCAACAGGGUCACCCUGUUGCUUGUCAGGGACCCGCUCGAGGUGGCCUUCAAGUAUCCGAGACCGACUCUGCCCGCUUACAUGACGCCUAUAGAGCCUCCGGUAGGGAAGUUCUACAACUCGCCUGUCGCCCUGGGUUCAGGUGCCGGUGCAGUGCUAACGGUACCCAUCGCUGCGUUGGGUGCAAAACUAAACACGUGG